GCUGGGCAUGGUGGUGCAUGCCUGUAGUCCCAGCUACUCGGGAGGCUGAGACAGGAGAAUCGCUUGAACCCAGGAGGUGGAGGUUGCAGUGAGCCAAGAUUGCACCACUGCACACUCCAGCCUGGGUGACAGAGUGAGACCCUGUCUCAA
rfam:Pan troglodytes isolate Yerkes chimp pedigree #C0471 (Clint) chromosome 16, whole genome shotgun sequence.